AGUCGAACGGUAACAGCACUUCGGUGGGCUGACGAGUGGGCGGACGGGUGAGUAAUACAUCGGAACGUGCCCGAUCGUGGGGGAUAACUACUCGAAAGAGUGGCUAAUACCGCAUACGAUCUACGGAUGAAAGCGGGGGAUCGCAAGACCUCGCGCGGACGGAGCGGCCGAUGGCAGAUUAGGUAGUUGGUGGGAUAAAAGCUUACCAAGCCGACGAUCUGUAGCUGGUCUGAGAGGACGACCAGCCACACUGGGACUGAGACACGGCCCAGACUCCUACGGGAGGCAGCAGUGGGGAAUUUUGGACAAUGGGGGAAACCCUGAUCCAGCCAUGCCGCGUGCAGGAUGAAGGCCUUCGGGUUGUAAACUGCUUUUGUACGGAACGAAAAGACUCUUUCUAAUACAGAGGGUCCAUGACGGUACCGUAAGAAUAAGCACCGGCUAACUACGUGCC
rnacentral:rRNA from 1 species